rnacentral:rRNA from 1 species
CGCUGGCGGCGUGCUUAAUACAUGCAAGUCAACUUGACUUAGAUAGCAAUAUCGAAAGUAGGGUGGCGCACGGGUGCGUAACGCGUAGGUAAUCUGCCCUGAGGUCUGACAUAACCCGUCGAAAGGCGGACUGACAUCAGAUGAUAUAUAAUCACGACAUCGUGGAAAUAUCAAAUCUUCGGAGCCUUGGGAUGAGCCUGCGUCUGAUUAGGUAGUUGGCGGAGUAAUAGCCCACCAAGCCUACGAUCAGUAGCUGGUCUGAGAGGAUGAUCAGCCACACUGGAACUGAGACACGGUCCAGACUCCUACGGGAGGCAGCAGUAAGGAAUAUUGCUCAAUGGGGGAAACCCUGAAGCAGCAACGCCGCGUGAAGGAUGAAAUACUUUUGUAUGUAAACUUCUGUAAGAUGGGAAAAAUAUUCUCCUCGGGAGAAUUGAUUGUACCAUCAGAGUAAGCCCCGGCUAACUACGUG